GCGGGCGUGGUUCAACGGCUAGAAUAUAAGCCUUCCAAGCUUGAGAUGAGGGUUCGAUUCCCUCCGCCCGCACCA
rnacentral:tRNA from 1 species